ACAAGAGGGACUAACAUGUUGCGCGAGCAUGCAUUGCAAGGUGAAUGGAGUGUGUGUGCAGGUGCUUCAGGGCUUGAUGCAGGCAUAUGCAGGCAUGCCGACUAUGCCGUGCACACGAUCAAUGAACGAACCCACAACCGACCAGCUGUCGCCUACUGGUUUGUGCCGCUCAGCACGGGGCGCAGCACUAGUGUACUGACGUCGUCACACCCGCCACUCACGAGGCGGCCACGUAGGCUGGGUUGUACUGGCGGUGUCGGGGCGAGGUCAUGUCCCAGGGCAGUGGGUAGUAGCCGGACCGGAUGUUGUCGUAGUCUUGGUCCACCGCCUCAAUGAAGUCACUCAGCCGGUCUGUGGCGAGUCAGCAGGCGAUACAUGUGAGGGGGGCACGGUAUGCAGGCCCCUGUUGAGGGCACCCUGGCAGCCCCCAAGGCGAUGAUGCCAUGCUGGUGGCACAAAGGCAACCACACAGAGCAGCGUGCUCGACAUGAAAUUGAACUACGGCUGCCCUACACGUCACCGCAACCGCAACCGCAACCGCAACCGCAACCGCAACCGCAACCCCAGCCGAGCCCGCGCUUGCGCCCGCGCCCGCACCCGCAUCCGCACCCGCACCCGCACCCGUAUCCGCACCCGCAACCCGCACCCGCACCCACAUGCGAGCUCGGCCUCCGCCCCCUCCAACAACUUCUCAAAUGGCGUCCGUGAGGUGCCGCCGCUGCUGCUGCCCCUUCCGCCGCCCGCCACCUGGCGUUGCAGCCGCUGCAGCCGCUCCACCAGGUCGUGUGCGGCGAAGCCCGCGAAGGCCUGCAUGUAUUGGAGUACAGCAAAACAGGCCGGACUCGCGACGCAUGCACGCAACGCACACACACUCACAUACACACACACGCACCUGUAAUACCAGGUUGCAGAGGCGACCGCACAUACGGUACCCUAGUUCAUCAAACAUUCACCCAUAUAUGAGCCCGCCGCCCGGUUGCCACCGCAUCACCCACCCACCAAGCCGUUGAAGCCCAGGUGUCGGACCAGGUGGUAGGCCCAGUGCGCGGCGCGCUUGGGGUCGGUCGCCGCCGCGCCGGCGCCACUGGCCGGCUGCAGCAGUCGCGGCAGCACGUCUGCAAGCCUCAUGUUGGAGCCGGAUAGGUCGCUGUGCGUGGGCGGGCAAAUGGGGGCGGGGCAGCACGGGCGCAGCAGCAGGCGGGGUGUGAGGCCCGUACGGGCUGCGGCGGCACUGCAAGCAGAGGCAUGGAAGACGCAGGGCACCCGCCGGCAACGGGCAACCGGUGCAGCGUGGGCGAGUUCUCGUGCGAUGCCACCCAGCGACCCGGGCCUUCCAAACCAUUCCCGGCUGUCCACGUGAGCUGUCGCGCACGUGGCACCGCCGCCCGUUGUUCCCGCGGAAGACUAACCUGGCCUUCUUGUUGUCCUUUGGAUCGCUGAUGGCUGUCAAAACACAAGAGCAAAUAAUGCGUUCAUGUUACUAUGUCGUAUGCGGCGGGGGCAGCAAGCGGUGUCGGCCUGCCCGCACAGAGUGUGUAGUGUCGAGUGUGUGGUGUCGCCGUUGCGACAUUCGCGAACUACGCACGCUUCAACGUAAGACUGCCUUCCAUCCCCAUGCUUCCAGCCAGCAUCCAUAUACCAUACCUGCAGUCAUGAAGGUUUCACGAGUGCUCCAGCGCUCCACACUCGCGUCAAGUUUGAACCGCAGCCCGUCCAGCUCCGCUGGUGUGGGCCGCGCGGACGGGCCUGGCAGCGGCACCGCAGAGGAGGCGACCGCAGAGGAGGCGACCGCAGAGGAGGCGACCGGAGCGGAAGUGCUGGCAGCGGUGAAGGUGCGAUUGGUUUUACAAGUAGGAGUUGCCUCGGGCGCUGUUGAUGUCUCCGACUGGGGGUCGACGGCUGCGAGGAGGCCAAGGGGGAGGCAGCAAAACGGAGGAGCAGUGGCGCCGGGCCCGGGAAGCGGUGCAGUCGUCAGGGCCGGGCGUAACGCUCCGGGUGCCCUUCCCAUACGGAAUCGCUGCCCUUAGCGAGUAGCUUCCGUAUCUCCGAGAACGUAUCCAGUGUUCAAGCGGAAAACACAUGCCAGCGAGGAACGCGGAUGGGUGUUGCAGUCGCGGCUAAGAGGCCAGAAACUGAUGCAAGGUUACUUAAGCUACGAAAGCGGUACCUACAUUUAGCAACCAUGGAGGCCCUGAGCCCGGGCACGGCCACUCGCGGCCAGCCAUUGCCACGCAAAUUCCGUGGCUGUCGCGACAGCUGCAUACUGUUGUAUUAAUCCACUUUUGGUACACAACAAACGCGUACGAGAGGUUGCCGCUCAAGGUCUCUGUGCACUGGUGCAGGCGGGUAUGGACAACAAAUAUGAGAAAACGGGCUAUGCUAAACAGCAGGUGUUAUACUGGCGCAUGGCAUACUUAGCCUCGAAUAUCCGAGAUAUUGGCGCAGCGUGGCAGCAACCCGCGCCAACCCGCGCCAUGCGGUGGCCAGAGGUGGCACGCAGUGGCACGCCGUGGCGACCGGGGCCGCCGCCUCCAAACGCUAUGUUGACGCUUAAUAUUCCAGAUUUGAUAAGGAUUACAAAAAGUGCGCAGUGUAAGGCGAAGAGGGAUCGCGACUGCCUGCAGACUGCAGAGCCGUGCAGAGUGACUCGGUGUGACGCGCGACGUCUUGUUCUUGCGCAAACUGGAGGCCCGGGUCGCGAUGGACCUUAAUAUGCCAACAAAUAAAUAACAAGCGCACAACGUCCCAUUGCGUCGGGCGCGACUGGCAGAGCCCUCGAUGCGGUUCAUCACUGCCAGAGUAUUACCAUCAACUCCCUUCAACAUUGCUUCGAUGCGGGCAGUCACACACACGGUCGAUGCGGGGAUCGGACCCACAUGCUGGCGUGCCAGCAGCCACCAGGCUCGACCUGUGUCCUCGGGACGUACCCCUGCUGUACGCCACUGCAUCGUCGCCAGCCUCGCCGCGGCACAUGGGGGCGGGAUCCAUGCAGCGGCGCCCAUACUUACCACGCUUGGCCGGCGCCAGUACAUACUACCAGUACAGCUCGCCCGGUGCAGCCGCCGUUCAGCCCUCUAAUCAGCCCGGCCCCAGCUAGGCAGCCACCCUGCUUCACUUGCUCGGCAGCUUUGCCCGGCAUCGGCUACUGACAUCCGCCACGCCGCUUCUUUCUUCUCCCGUUUCUUUCCGCUUGCCCACGCAUAUGCUCCAUGGGCGCCCGCGGAUGCCUGGCUCCGUUCCAGGUGGGUGCAUUUUGUGGGUUUCGCGUUGUCGCGGCGAAUGGCAGCAGCCUAGUUGCGAGCUGGAACGCGUCCGCCCCUGCAAGCGGCAGCAGUCUCCACGACACUCGGACUCCGUUUGGCGUGCCGAAUGCGGAGCAGCGUGGAGCGCGCACCGGUGUCUCGUCUCGAAGGUAACAAGUAACCGCAUUGCCGCUGACACUAACUUCUUUCGUGAUGUUUAUUGCUAGCCUGGAGCUCGCGACGGCGUCUUGCAUUCGCAUUCACUCGCAAGCACUUCGUUAACAGGGCGUAUCAGGGAUAAUCGCCCCUGGGCCCCGGCAAGUUCACGCCGGUAUCUGUUGCCCAGUGGCAGGGACCCACUCGAGGUUCCGCCCUCGAGCGUUUGGAACUGGCGAGCCUCCCGCUUGCGGGUGCAGCCUGAGCAUUCACGCGGCCGCAUGCACGCGAUUGCAGCACUGCGCGGACGGGUCGUCGUCGUCUUACACCUUGGUUAUUUGGUUCUGGAGAAUUUGUUUCUUGGUUUGGCUUUUCAGCGGUUUCGGGUACAUGCCGUGGACACGCACCGAGCUCGGCCAGCCCUCCGCCCGCCGCCCACUCAGCUGUCAGCACGGUUCCCCCACCCGGCCGGCCCCGCUGCACCGUGCGUGGGCCGGUCCCUGGACGGGUGUGGGGAACCGCACAGCGGUCCGCGCCCGUCCGUCUCAGCUGUCAGCUGUACGCCACUGCAUCGUCGCCAGCCUCGCCGCGGCACAUGGGGGCGGGAUCCAUGCAGCGGCGCCCAUACUUACCACGCUUGGCCGGCGCCAGUACAUACUACCAGUACAGCUCGCCCGGUGCAGCCGCCGUUCAGCCCUCUAAUCAGCCCGGCCCCAGCUAGGCAGCCACCCUGCUUCACUUGCUCGGCAGCUUUGCCCGGCAUCGGCUACUGACAUCCGCCACGCCGCUUCUUUCUUCUCCCGUUUCUUUCCGCUUGCCCACGCAUAUGCUCCAUGGGCGCCCGCGGAUGCCUGGCUCCGUUCCAGGUGGGUGCAUUUUGUGGGUUUCGCGUUGUCGCGGCGAAUGGCAGCAGCCUAGUUGCGAGCUGGAACGCGUCCGCCCCUGCAAGCGGCAGCAGUCUCCACGACACUCGGACUCCGUUUGGCGUGCCGAAUGCGGAGCAGCGUGGAGCGCGCACCGGUGUCUCGUCUCGAAGGUAACAAGUAACCGCAUUGCCGCUGACACUAACUUCUUUCGUGAUGUUUAUUGCUAGCCUGGAGCUCGCGACGGCGUCUUGCAUUCGCAUUCACUCGCAAGCACUUCGUACCCCGUCCACCAACUCUGCCCACAUUCUGACCCCACCACCCCGCAAGGCCGCCCCCUACCAACAUGGAUGGCCUCGUCAACAGGUAUCAAAGAAUACUGCAUUGUUUUGCUCCGCACUUAACGUGUUUGUUCUGCAUCCUUUAUAAGCGGUAUGUCAUUGGCAUACAUACCAGCAGUGCUGACCACGCGUGCACAUAGCGCCAUAGCCCUUGUGCUUAGUAUGCUGCGUACAACUGUGCACGUAUGCACGUGCCUAAGCCACUCCAUACAUCACACACUGCCCUCCGUCACCCCACAACCGCAAAUCAGGCGGGCAACAAACUCACUCUCCUUUCCUCGACGCCGCGGACUUGCAGACAUGCAUUUUGUCAAAACGGGCAUUGUACCACGCAGCCGCACCGCUUGGCCCCUCUCCUCUCGCUCCCCUCAUGUCCUCUCCGCUCCUUUCGUGUUGUCGCAGCUGGCGUCGAACAUGACAAGUCUGCAAACCGCUCCCGCUCAGUUGUCGGCGGCCGGGGCGGUUGCGGGCGCCUCGCCCGGCACGGCCUUGCGGAAGCUGAGCGUCUUGGUGGCGGAGCACAGGUACUUGGUGUCGGGGGUCAGGCCCGCCUCCUCGCACAUGGAGCCCAGGUCGCAGGCCACGUAGCUCCUGCAGGUGGACGUUGCGCGCACACACAGCACACACAGCACACACAGCGACGUAAACGUCAAGCCCCCAGCUCUUCGUGCGUCGCGACCGCAAUCCAACGUCAGCGCAGUCCAUUUGUCAGGAUGUGCACAGAUAUGUCCAUUUUGACUCCCGCUAGAACGGUAUUGCACCUGUCGCAAGCCAGGCAUGGUGCCGCGGCAUUGGAUAGAUAGCACACGCCUCAACCCUCAAGACACACGUCAAACGCCUGAUUGCUGUUGCCUGCAGUUGCCUAUGCCUGCAUUCAGCUGCUGCCUGCACACACCUGUAGUAGGGCUCGUUGAAGUUGCUGAACAGGCCGAUGGUGUUGUCCCACGCCGGCCUGUCCCCCAGCUGCACGCUGUCUGUGAGCACCAGCAGACCGCCCGGCCGCAGCACGCGCGCGAACUCGGACACGGCGCGGCGCCGCACCGCCUCGGGAAGCUCGUGGAACAGGUACACGCACACAACCUGAUGAGGCAGGAGCGGGACGCCAGGGGGGGGCGUCGGAGGGUGAGGGAGGCGCAGGAGCAGCGAACGCCAAGAGCCCUUGGAGUGAGCACAAACACAGAGCACAGGGCUUUCGGGGAUACCAGAGCUGCCACGACUCACGAUGUCAAAGCUCUCGUCGGGCGCGGCGAUGUCCUCCGCGGCAGUCUGCAGGAAUUCAGUGCCGGUCUCGUCCACUCCGCCCAGGAAGCGCCCGGGCGCACGCAGGCGCCGCCAGUAGCGCACGUUGUUGCGCGCGCGGGCCAGGUAGAAGGGGCUGAGGUCGGAGCACACCGUGCGCAUGUCGGGGUACGCAUCCUGGGGCGGGUCCCAAGGGUGAAGCGCUUACUUCCUCUCGAAUGCGUCAGCGCACGCAAGCCGAAAGCGGGAGUUGCCCACACCAGGCUGAGUCGCGCAGCUAUCUCCGGAAGUGCGGCAAGUAAGUUGCAUGCGCCUCGACGUACCUUGAUGAAGGUGUGGAAGCGGCCGGUGCCCGCCGCCACCUCGAGCAGUUUCAGGUCGGCGGGGCGGGCGCCGCUCUCCCGCACGUAGUCGGCGAUGGGCAGCAGGCUGGUGCGCUGCAUGGCGUCCUGCCGCCCGAAGAACAACACCUCCGUGCUGAACUCGUACACGUUGGCGGACCUGUGUGCAGCAGCGCGGCGCGUGCGCGUUGCGAGCGUGUGACGGGCGAAGCCGACCAAAAGGACAGCAAAGAUGAGAUGUGGCGCAUGUGGCGCAUGUGGCGACGUGUGUGCGGGUUGCGUAUGUGGAAGUGCCCGGCCGAGCCCCGGAUCUUGGAUGUGCCCUAGUGCCCAUCGACCAUGGGGCGCUGUCAUUUCAACAGCCAGCCAGCCACUCACUGUGCCGAGAACCAGCCGUCCGUCUGGAAAUGGAAGGUGUUGGUGUAGUACUGCGGGUAUAGUUUGCUGCCCUCCAGCCACAGCGGCUCGGGCUGACCGCGCACGCGGCGCCGCAGCGUCGCCACCGACUCCUGGAUGAACUGUGCCGACCUGUGUGCGUGCCAGACACACACACACAUAUACAUAUGGCUGGCUCCUGCCUGCUGCCGGUCGCAUUCAAACCCGCAUUCAAACCCGUCCACCUGUUCCAGCUCGUGCCCCAAACGCCCGACCGCCCGACAUGACCGCAGAGCAGCGCCCCCACCUGCCGCGCCCCCCCCCACCGCCCCCUCCACCACACACACAUACACACCUGCCCAGAACGUUCAGCGGGUUGUACUGGCGGUGUCGAGGCGAGGUCAUGUCCCAGGGCAGUGGGUAGUAGCCGGACCGGAUGUUGUCGUAG
rnacentral:lncRNA from 1 species